UACGGAGGGUGCAAGCGUUGCUCGGAAUCAUUGGGCGUAAAGCGUACGCAGGCUGUUCGUUAAGUCGGGUGUGAAAGCCCGGGGCUCAACCCCGGAACGGCGCCCGAAACUGGCGAGCUUGAAUGCGGGAGAGGGAAGCGGAAUUCCUGGUGUAGAGGUGAAAUUCGUAGAUAUCUGGAGGAACACCGGUGGCGAAGGCGGCAUCCUGGACCGGUAUUGACGCUGAUGCGCGAAGGCCAGGGGAGCAAACGGG
rnacentral:rRNA from 1 species